rnacentral:siRNA from 1 species
UACCUGCUUGGUGUCUUUGCUUGC